rnacentral:rRNA from 1 species
CUACGGGCUGCUGCAGUGAGGAAUAUUGCACAAUGGGGGGAACCCUGAUGCAGCAACGCCGCGUGGAGGAUGACGCAUUUCGGUGUGUAAACUCCCUUUAUAUGUCAAGAAAAUGACGGUAGCAUAUGAAUAAGCACCGGCUAACUCCGUGCCAGCAGCCGCGGUAAUACGGAGGGUGCAAGUGUUACUCGGAAUCACUGGGCGUAAAGGACGCGUAGGCGGGUUGGAAAGUCAGGUGUGAAAUCCUACAGCUUAACUGUAGAACUGCACUUGAAACUUCUAAUCUAGAGUAUGGGAGGGGGAGAUGGAAUUAGUGGUGUAGGGGUAAAAUCCGUAGAUAUCACUAGGAAUACCUAAAGCGAAGGCGAUCUCCUGGAACAUUACUGACGCUAAGGCGUGAAAGCGUGGGGAGCAAACAGGAUUAGAUACCCCGGUAGUC